UAGGGAAUCUUCGGCAAUGGACGAAAGUCUGACCGAGCAACGCCGCGUGAGUGAAGAAGGUUUUCGGAUCGUAAAACUCUGUUGUUAGAGAAGAACAAGGACGUUAGUAACUGAACGUCCCCUGACGGUAUCUAACCAGAAAGCCACGGCUAACUACGUUCCAGCAGCCGCGGUAAUACGUAGGUGGCAAGCGUUGUCCGGAUUUAUUGGGCGUAAAGCGAGCGCAGGCGGUUUCUUAAGUCUGAUGUGAAAGCCCCCGGCUCAACCGGGGAGGGUCAUUGGAAACUGGGAGACUGGAGUGCAGAAGAGGAGAGUGGAAUUCCAUGUGUAGCGGUGAAAUGCGUAGAUAUAUGGAGGAACACCAGUGGCGAAGGCGGCUCUCUGGUCUGUAACUGACGCUGAGGCUCGAAAGCGUGGGGAGCAAACAGG
rnacentral:rRNA from 1 species